rnacentral:rRNA from 1 species
GACGAACGCUGGCGGCGUGCUUAACACAUGCAAGUCGAACGGAAAGGCCCUGCUUUUGUGGGGUGCUCGAGUGGCGAACGGGUGAGUAACACGUGAGUAACCUGCCCUUGACUUUGGGAUAACUUCAGGAAACUGGGGCUAAUACCGGAUAGGAGCUCCUGCUGCAUGGUGGGGGUUGGAAAGUUUCGGCGGUUGGGGAUGGACUCGCGGCUUAUCAGCUUGUUGGUGGGGUAGUGGCUUACCAAGGCUUUGACGGGUAGCCGGCCUGGGAGGGUGGCCGGCCACAUUGGGACUGGGAUACGGCCCAGACUCCUACGGGAGGCAGAAGUGGGGAAUAUUGCACAAUGGGCGGAAGCCUGAUGCAGCAACGCCGCGUGCGGGAUGACGGCCUUCGGGUUGUAAACCGCUUUCGCCUGUGACGAAGCGUGAGUGACGGUAAUGGGUAAAGAAGCACCGGCUAACUACGUG